UUCCGGUUGAUCCUGCCGGAGGCUACCGCUAUUGGAGUUCGAUUAAGCCAUGCGAGUCGCGAGUCUUAGGGACUCGGCGUACCGCUCAGUAACACGUGGGUAACCUGCCCUAUGCUGGGGGAUAACCUCGGGAAACUGAGAAUAAUACCCCAUAGUUCACCACGCCUGGAACGGUGGGUGGAUCAAAGCUCCGGCGGCAUAGGAUGGGCCUGCGGCGUAUCAGGUUGUAGGGGGUGUAAUGUACCCUCUAGCCCUCUACGCGUACGGGUGUUGAGAGACAUCGCCCGGAGAUGGAUUCUGAGACACGAAUCCAGACCCUACGGGGUGCAGCAGGCGCGAAAACUUGGCAAUGCGAGAAAUCGUGACCAGGGAACUCCAAGUGCAUCGGGUAAGACCGAUGCUUUUCUUGACUCUUCAAAGGUCUUGGAAUAAGGGGUGGGUAAGGACGGUGCCAGCCGCCGCGGUAAUACCGGCGCCCCAAGUGGUAGUCGCUUUUAUUGGGCCUAAAACGUCCGUAGCCGGUCUGGUACAUUCGUGGGUAAAUCAACCAGCUCAACUGGUUGAAUUCUGCGAGCACGGCCAGACUUGGGACCGGGAGAGGUGUGGGGUACUCUCAGGGUAGGGGUAAAAUCCUGUCAUCCUGAGAGGACCACCUGUUGCGAAGGCGCCACACUAGAACGGAUCCGACGGUCAGGGACGAAGCCUAGGGGCACGAACCGGAUUAGAUACCCGGGUAGUCCUAGGUGUAAACGCUGUGGACUUGAUGUUGGGGGCGCUCCGAGCGCACUCAGUGUCGAAGCGAAGGUGAUAAGUCCACUGCCUGGGGAGUACGGUCGCAAGGCUGAAACUUAAAGGAAUUGGCGGGGGAGCACCGCAACCUGAGGAUUGUGCGGUUUAAUUGGAGUCAACGCCGG
rnacentral:rRNA from 1 species